rnacentral:rRNA from 1 species
AGCAGGCGCGCAAAUUACCCAAUCCCGANAGGGGGAGGUAGUGACAAUAAAUAACAACACAGGGCUCUUUUGGGUCUUGUUAUUGGAAUGAGUACGAUUUAAAUCUCCAAACGAGGAACAAUUGGAGGGCAAGUCUGGUGCCAGCAGCCGCGGUAAUUCCAGCUCCAAUAGCGUAUAUUAAAGUUGUUGCAGUUAAAAAGCUCGUAGUUGAAUUUCAGGCCUGGCUGGACGGUCCGCCCUUCGGGUGAGUACUGUCUGUGGUCGGGUCCUACCUUCUGGCGAAGCGUCAUGGCCUUAACCGGCCGUGGCGGGGAACCAGGACUUUUACUGUGAAAAAAUUAGAGUGUUCAAAGCAGGCAAUCGCUUGGAUACAUUAGCAUGGAAUAAUGGAAUAGGACAAUGGUUCUAUUUGUUGGUUUCUAGGACCGUUGUAAUGAUUAAUAGGGAUAGUUGGGGGCAUUAGUAUUCAAUUGUCAGAGGUGAAAUUCUUGGAUUUAUUGAAGACUAACUACUGCGAAAGCAUUUGCCAAGGAUGUUUUCAUUAAUCAAGAACGAAAGUUAGGGGAUCGAAGACGAUCAGAUACCGUCGUAGUCUUAACCAUAAACUAUGCCGACUAGGAAUCGGGCGAUGUUGACAAAAUGACGCGCUCGGCACCUCAUGGGAAACCAAAGUG